GUUCCCAUCGACGCGGGGAGAAAGAGCUAAAGACGUUUCACAAAGAAGCUCGAGAGGAGAGGAAGAGGAAGACGAUUCACUUGUUUCCCGCCAUUUUCACUGUCUUUCCCAAACCCCUCCGUUGGCGAGCAACAUGUUGUGGGUCGACAAGUACAGGCCGAAAUCGCUGGAAAAAGUCAUCGUUCAUGAGGAUAUCGCCCAAAAUCUCAAGAAAUUGGUUACCGAGCAAGAUUGUCCGCAUUUGCUCUUCUAUGGGCCGUCAGGUUCGGGAAGAAAACCCUAAUCGUGGCGCUUCUCAAGCAGAUUUAUGGUGCCAGUGCAGAGAAGGUGAAAGUGGAGAACAGGGCAUGGAAAAUUGAUGCUGGGAGUAGAACUCUUGAUCUGGAGCUCACUACAUUAUCAAGCACCAAUCAUGUGGAACUUACUCCAAGUGAUGCGGGCUUUCAAGACAGAUACAUAGUUCAAGAGAUCAUUAAAGAAAUGGCCAAGAACAGACCAAUUGACACCAAAGGGAAGAAGGGAUAUAAGGUUAAGAAUUAGCGUUCCCCCUGACUAUUUCACUACAUUAUCAUUAGUGGAGACAUUUUAUAUGUUGAGGGCUCAUAAAGUUCUUCGAAGCAUCUUUUAAGAGUGAGACUUGGUCGACAUUAUAGUUCAUAAUAUAGUUUUUUUUU